UACGUAGGGGGCAAGCGUUGUCCGGAAUCAUUGGGCGUAAAGAGCGUGUAGGCGGUCCGAUAAGUCCGCUCUGAAAGCCCGGGGCUCAACCCCGGGAGGCGGGCGGAUACUGUCGGGCUAGAGUCCGGAAGAGGCAAGUGGAAUUCCUGGUGUAGCGGUGAAAUGCGCAGAUAUCAGGAGGAACACCGAUGGCGAAGGCAGAUCUCUGGGCCGUAACUGACGCUGAGGAGCGAAAGCGUGGGGAGCGAACAGG
rnacentral:rRNA from 1 species